GCUGGGCGCGGUGGCCACGCCUGUGAUCCCAGCAGCUCCGGAGGCUGAGGCAGGAGGAUGGCCAGUUCAAAGCCAGCCUCAGCAACUUAGUGAGGCCCUCAGCAACUCAGGGAGACCCUGUCUCUA
rnacentral:sRNA from 1 species